GAUGAACGCUGGCGGCGUGCUUAAUACAUGCAAGUCGAACGAAGCUCCUUUUCUUCGGAUGAGGAGUCUUAGUGGCGAAACGGGUGCGUAACGCGUUGGUAACCUGCCCCAAAGAGGGGGAUAACAGUUCGAAAGGACUGCUAAUACCCCAUACGAUCAUCAGGGUCAGAUACUUGAUGAUUAAAGGAGUAAUCCGCUUUGGGAGGGGCCUGCGUCCCAUCAGCUAGUUGGUAGGGUAAUGGCCUACCAAGGCGAUGACGGGUAGGGGACCUGAGAGGGUGGCCCCCCACACUGGCACUGAAAUACGGGCCAGACACCUACGGGUGGCAGCAGUAGGGAAUAUUGGACAAUGGGCGAAAGCCUGAUCCAGCAACGCCGCGUGCACGAUGAAGGUCUUCGGAUUGUAAAGUGCUUUUAAGGGAGAUGAGAAAGGACAGUAUCCCUUGAAUAAGCCUCGGCGAACUACGUG
rnacentral:rRNA from 1 species